ensembl:ncRNA lncRNA:CR43752 long non-coding RNA:CR43752
GCCUUAAUCUGUGCGAAAUGUAUUUGAGAGCAGAACGAACGCAUUGCCAUGGAGCGGCGAGUGUAGAGAACUGCAAAGUGUUGGCAAACAAAAAGUCCAGCUUCAAUUAGCAUACCACGGCGGUGAGCCAUAGAGGAUGGUUAGGCUCUACAGCCCCCAGACCACCAGACCCCCCGUAUCCAGCCUGCCCAACUCUUCACUCGUGGGACUGCGACUGUAACUGGGACCUGGCCCAAGCUGCGAUUUUUAUGACAGGUUAAUGACACAACUACGACAAUGAAGGUGCUGCUGAUGAUGAUGAAGACCAGGCGGGAGUGCAAUACCCACCAAUCAGGAAAAAUACAAACAAAAAUUCUAGUACAUUACUUUUUAAUUAAGCAAUGAAUUGAACAUUAAACAAACAACGAAAGUAGCAAGAAAGUGAUCUAAAACUAAAGCUCAGGGAUUUGUGUGAUGAAAAUGAAAUCAUUUACAGAUUUGCCUUUUUGACUUAGAUAUUGAUCCACUUU